AGUGACUAAAGAGCGUUCGGUGGAUGCCUUGGCACCAAGAGGCGAUGAAGGACGUGGCACGCUGCGAAAAGCCGCGGGGAGAUGCGAGCGAUCGUUGAUCCGCGGAUGUCCGAAUGGGGAAACCCCUCCUUUAUGGAGAUCACGUACUGAAUACAUAGGUACGUGAGGCAAACCCGGGGAACUGAAACAUCUCAGUACCUGGAGGAAAAGACAUCAAAUGAGAUUCCGCUAGUAGUGGCGAGCGAACGCGGAGCAGGCCAUUUGUUUUGCACAACUAAGCCGAACAGUCUGGAAAGGCUGACCAAAGUGGGUGAUGGUCCCGUAGGCGUGUUGAUGUGUGAAGCAAUCGAGUAAGGCGAGGCACGUGAAACCUUGUCUGAACAUAGGGGGACCACCCUCUAAGCCUAAAUACUCCUUGGUGACCGAUAGUGCACAAGUACCGUGAGGGAAAGGUGAAAAGCACCCCGACAAGGGGAGUGAAAGAGACCUGAAACCGGACGCUUACAAGCAGUCGGAGCUCUCUUGUGGAGUGACGGCGUACCUUUUGUAUAAUGGGUCCGCGAGUUCGUGUUGGCAGCAAGCUUAAGCCGUAAGGUGUAGGCGCAGCGAAAGCGAGUCUGAAUAGGGCGUCGAGUUGCCGGCAUGAGACCCGAAACCGAGUGAUCUAGCCAUGGCCAGGCUGAAGGUGGGGUAACACCUACUGGAGGGCCGAACCCACGCCUGUUGAAAAAGUCGGGGAUGAGCUGUGGCUAGGGGUGAAAGGCCAACCAAACCCGGAAAUAGCUGGUUCUCCGCGAAAUCUAUUGAGGUAGAUCGUCAGAUGGUCACCCUCGGAGGUAGAGCACCGGAAGGGCUAGGGGGGCCCAAAGCCUUACCAAACCCUACCGAACUCCGAAUGCCGAGGAGUGUAGUCUGG
rnacentral:rRNA from 1 species